CUUAAUAGAAAGCAGUUGUUGUUGGGGGAUUCUAUCAUAAGAGGUGUGGAGAUGGACAAUGGUGGUCUUGUGAGAUGUCUUCCCGGAGCUAUUGCUCACAGAGACAGAAGACGUAUUUGUAAUAUUGUUAAGCGAGCAAAGCAGGAAGGGGAAUUGGAUGUACUUGUCCAUCUAGGGACAAAUGACUUGGCUUGCAAUGAGGUUUCAGAG